rnacentral:rRNA from 1 species
AGUGAACGCUGGCGGUAGGCCUAACACAUGCAAGUCGAACGGCAGCACAGUAAGAGCUUGCUCUUACGGGUGGCGAGUGGCGGACGGGUGAGGAAUACAUCGGAAUCUACUUUUUCGUGGGGGAUAACGUAGGGAAACUUACGCUAAUACCGCAUACGACCUACGGGUGAAAGCAGGGGAUCUUCGGACCUUGCGCGAUUGAAUGAGCCGAUGUCGGAUUAGCUAGUUGGCGGGGUAAAGGCCCACCAAGGCGACGAUCCGUAGCUGGUCUGAGAGGAUGAUCAGCCACACUGGAACUGAGACACGGUCCAGACUCCUACGGGAGGCAGCAGUGGGGAAUAUUGGACAAUGGGCGCAAGCCUGAUCCAGCCAUGCCGCGUGGGUGAAGAAGGCCUUCGGGUUGUAAAGCCCUUUUAUUGGGGAAGAAAAGCAGCAGAUUAAUACCCCGCUGUUCUGACGGUACCCAAAGAAAAAGCACCGGCUAACUUCGUG